rnacentral:rRNA from 1 species
CUCAGGGAUAGCCUUUCGAAAGAAAGAUUAAUACCUGAUGGUAUGAUGAGAUUGCAUGAUAGCAUCAUUAAAGAUUUAUCGGUGUACGAUGGGGAUGCGUUCCAUUAGGUAGUUGGUGAGGUAACGGCCCACCAAGGCGACGAUCGGUAGCCGGACUGAGAGGUUGAACGGCCACAUUGGGACUGAGACACGGCCCAGACUCCUACGGGAGGCAGCAGUGGGGAAUAUUGCACAAUGGGGGAAACCCUGAUGCAGCGACGCCGCGUGGAGGAAGAAGGUCUUCGGAUUGUAAACUCCUGUUGUUGGGGAAGAUAAUGACGGUACCCAACAAGGAAGUGACGGCUAACUACGUGCCAGCAGCCGCGGUAAAACGUAGGUCACAAGCGUUGUCCGGAAUUACUGGGUGUAAAGGGAGCGCAGGCGGGAAGACAAGUUGGAAGUGAAAUCUAUGGGCUCAACCCAUAAACUGCUUUCAAAACUGUUUUUCUUGAGUAGUGCAGAGGUAGGCGGAAUUCCCGGUGUAGCGGUGGAAUGCGUAGAUAUCGGGAGGAACACCAGUGGCGAAGGCGGCCUACUGGGCACCAACUGACGCUGAGGCUCGAAAGUGUGGGUAGCAAACAGGAU